AAGCGAGAAACAGAGAGAGAGAGAGAGCGUCAUUUUUAUUAUAAUUUAUAUCGUGUACAUUAUCGUCAUCAGCGAUUAUACGAAGUAUUAUAAUAAGCAAUUUUAAAAGAGUAUACGUAACACGAUCAAUUAAUGUACCAAUGAUGAUUUGGCAUUUUAGCACAUAAGACAGCAUCGCGUAUUGUAUUCCGCGCGCAAAAAAGACUUUAUAUUUUACAUGAAAUACAUGUAAAAUAACGACACCAAAGUGUCAUCCAAAAAAAUUAUAUUUUCUUUGCGAUAGUUUUACAACUAUUUCAUAAUAAUUUGGAUAAAUAACAUUAUUUAAAUUAUACCGUAUUAAUUACAGAGAAAUAAUCACUAUUAAACGAUAUCGUAUUUUUAUGUAUUUUAAGACGAAAGGAUACAUUUCGCCAAUUGAAAUUAUUAAAAAUUUUUCAUUCCUAUAAAUUCAGAUGCAUCGCACAGAUAUACUAAAACUACAUUGUAAUAUUUACUGCCGGUAUUGAAAAUCUAUAGUGUACAUAUGACAUAAAUUAUACAUUUUCUGGCAGUUAAUAUCAAAACGCAGCAAAAUCUCUUAUUUCUAAAGCCACAACUGAAUCUAAAUCUCACAUAAAAAUCUAAUGUGUAUGUGUGCGUAUGUGUGCGUGCGUGCGCGCGAGCGUACGUGUGCGUGUGUGUGUGUCUACAUACACACAUAUACAUUAUAUACACGAAAAUAAUAUUCGUCGUCACAGUUUUAUAGUUUUUUUUUUUAUUAAUUCCUUAUUCUCUCUCUCUUUAUACAUACACAUGAUACUAUCGAUCUUGGAAUUUUAUUCAGAAUUUCGUGAUAAAAUCAAAAUAUCCUAAUAUUUAUUCCGCGUCACUAUUUCUCGCACAUUCUUAGAAAUAAUAAUCUCGUCUGUAUAAUGUUCGAGAAUUCGGAAAUAUUUUUCAAGCGCACUUUAUGACAGCAGACAAUGUGAUGGGUACCCUCAUCUGAUAUACCAAACUUCCACAGCAUGUAGUAGCAUGCUGUCCGAUGUUAAUAAUGUACCAAAGACAUCGAUUAACUGGAAGAAUUAGUUGUUUAACGUUAGAGAUGAAAACAAGAACGCGCGUGUGCCAAAAAGAAGAAAAAGAGAAAACAGAAUAAAUUGAUGAAAGAAAAAAUAUUCAAAUGAAAUUUUAACAAAACAAAAAAAAGAAAUAUUAUACUGCUCGGCAUCGCAUCUAAAAUAUAUUGUUAUUAUUUAUAAAGAAAUCAUGUAUACAUAAUACAUGUACUAACUUGGCGUGCUCGUGUGGUUGGAAACUUUUACGAUAUAUAUGUUGAAAAUUAUCUAUAUUAUUACUAUUAUUAUUAUUAUUAUUAUUAUUAUUAUUAUUAUUAUUAUAUUAUAUUAUAUUAUCUAUUAUUAUUAUUACUAUUAUAAAUAUACUUUUAUUAUCUUUCUCA